GAUGAACGCUGGCGGCGUGCCUAAUACAUGCAAGUCGAGCGAACAGACGAGGAGCUUGCUCCUCUGACGUUAGCGGCGGACGGGUGAGUAACACGUGGAUAACCUACCUAUAAGACUGGGAUCACUUCGGGAAACCGGAGCUAAUACCGGAUAAUAUAUUGAACCGCAUGGUUCAAUAGUAAAAGACGGUUUUGCUGUCACUUAUAGAUGGAUCCGCGCUGCAUUAGCUAGUUGGGAAGGUCACGGCUUACCAAGGCAACGAUGCGUAGCCGACCUGAGUGGGUGAUCGGCCACACUGGAACUGAGACACGGUCCAUGCUCCUGCGAGAGGCCGCAGAAGGGAAUCGUCCGCAAUGGGCGAAAGCCUUGCGGAACAACGCCACGUGAGAGAUGAAGGUCUUCUGAUCGGAAAACUCUGUUAUUGGUGAAGAACAAAUGUGUAAUGAACUGUGCACGUCUUGACGGUACCUAAUCAGAAAGCCACGGCUAACUACGUG
rnacentral:rRNA from 1 species